UUCAACAAAAACUAUGUUACGGGCAAAA
rnacentral:sRNA from 1 species